GAUGAAGAACGUAGCGAAAUGCGAUAAGUAAUGUGAAUUGCAGAAUUCAGUGAAUCAUCGAAUCUUUGAACGCACCUUGCGCUCCUUGGUAUUCCGAGGAGCAUGCCUGUUUGAGUGUCAUUAUAACCCCUCAAGCUCAGCUUGGUGUUGGGGCCUGCCGCACGGGCAGCCCUUAAAAUCAGUGGCGGUGCCAUCUGGCUCUAAGCGUAGUAAUUCUUCUCGCUAUAGAGUCCCGGUGGAUGCUUGCCAUUAACCCCCAAUUUUCUAUGGUUGACCUCGGAUCAGGUAGGGAUACCCGCUGAACUUAAGCAUAUCAAUAAGCGGAGGA
rnacentral:misc_RNA from 1 species